AUUGAACGCUGGCGGCAUGCCUUACACAUGCAAGUCGAACGGCAGCACGGGGGCAACCCUGGUGGGCGAGUGGCGGACGGGUGAGUAAUGCAUCGGAACGUGCCCUGAAGUGGGGGAUAACGCAGCGAAAGCUACGCUAAUACCGCAUAUUCUGUGAGCAGGAAAGCAGGGGAUCGCAAGACCUUGCGCUUUGGGAGCGGCCGAUGUCGGAUUAGCUAGUUGGUGGGGUAAGGCCGUACCAAGGCGACGAUCCGUAGCGGGUCUGAGAGGAUGAUCCGCCACACUGGGACUGAGACACGGCCCAGACUCCUACGGAGGCAGCAGUGGGGAAUUUUGGACAAUGGGCGAAGCCUGAUCCAGCCAUGCCGCGUGAGUGAAGAAGGCCUU
rnacentral:rRNA from 1 species